CAGCCGCCGCGGGAAUACGUAGGGGGCGAGCGUUGUCCGAAGUUACUGGGCGUAAAGAGCGCGUAGGCGGCCUGGGGCGUCCCAUGUGAAAGGCCACGGCUCAACCGUGGAGGAGCGUGGGAUACGCUCAGGCUAGAGGGUGGGAGAGGGUGGUGGAAUUCCCGGAGUAGCGGUGAAAUGCGCAGAUACCGGGAGGAACGCCGAUGGCGAAGGCAGCCACCUGGUCCACUUCUGACGCUGAGGCGCGAAAGCGUGGGGAGCAAACCGGAUUAGAUACCCCAGUAGUCCCUGUCUCUUAUAC
rnacentral:rRNA from 1 species